rnacentral:rRNA from 1 species
UACGGAGGGUGCGAGCGUUGUUCGGAAUCACUGGGCGUAAAGCGCGUGUAGGCGGCCCAUUAAGUCAGACGUGAAAUCCCCAGGCUCAACCUGGGAACUGCGUCUGAUACUGGAUGGCUUGAAUCCGGGAGAGGGAUGCAGAAUUCCAGGUGUAGCGGUGAAAUGCGUAGAUAUCUGGAGGAACACCGGUGGCGAAGGCGGCAUCCUGGACCGGUAUUGACGCUGAGGCGCGAAAGCUAGGGGAGCAAACGGG